rnacentral:rRNA from 1 species
GACGAACGCUGGCGGCGUGCCUAAUACAUGCAAGUCGAACGCAGUGGGGACGGGUGAGUAACACGUGGGUAACCUCCCAUCAGAGGGGAUAACACUUGGAAACAGGUGCUAAACCGAUACUGAUGGAUGGACCCGCGGUGCAUUAGCUAGUUGGUGAGGUAACGGCUCACCAAGGCCACGAUGCAUAGCCGACCAGAGAGGGUGGUCGGCCAAACUGGACCUGAGAAACGGCCCAACCGCGUACGGGCAGCAGCAGUAGGGAAUCUUCGGCAAGGGAAGAGAUUCGGGCCGAGCAACGCCGCGGGAGUGAAGAAGGUUUCCGGAUCGUAAAACCCUGUUGUUAGAGAAGCGGUAUCUAACCAGAAAGCAACGGCUAACUCCGUGCCAGCGGCCGCGGUAAUAC